rnacentral:lncRNA from 1 species
CUUUUUCUUGAACCCCGAAAUUUUUCUCUGCUCUUUUUUUCAUUUUCUUGAACCCCGAAAUUUUCUCUGCGCAAACGACCCUCGGAUCUCUGCAUUUGAACCCCAUUCUCCUGUUUGCCAAAAUAAAUGGACCCCAUUCUCCGAUUUGGACCCCAGUCGCCUGACGAUAACCCGCGAUCGCCAAUAUGAACCCCGUUCUCCAGAAAAUGCCGCAACAUCUCCCUUUCUCCAUUUGAACCCCAUCUCCAGAAAAUGUCUCCACAUUUCCUUUUCUCCAUUUGAACCCCGUUCUCCAAUCUCUCGUGAUAAUUCC